rnacentral:rRNA from 1 species
UACGGAGGAUGCAAGCGUUAUCCGGAAUGAUUGGGCGUAAAGCGUCCGCAGGUGGCUAUGUAAGUCUGCUGUUAAAGAGUGAGGCUCAACCUCAUAAGAGCAGUGGAAACUACAUAGCUAGAGUGCGUUCGGGGCAGAGGGAAUUCCUGGUGUAGCGGUGAAAUGCGUAGAUAUCAGGAAGAACACCGGUGGCGAAAGCGCUCUGCUAGGCCGCAACUGACACUGAGGGACGAAAGCUAGGGGAGCGAACAGG